rnacentral:rRNA from 1 species
AGAGUUUGAUUCUGGCUCAGAACGAACGCUGGCGGCGUGGAUAAGACAUGCAAGUCGAACGGGAAACAUUUGAUAGUAAUAUUGGAUGUUUCUAGUGGCGAAAGGGUGCGUAACACGUGGGUAAUCUACCGUAAAGUUGGGAAUAACUUCGAGAAAUCGAUGCUAAUACCGGAUGUGAUUUAUUUGGGACAUCCCGAAUAAAUUAAAGCUGGGGACCUUCGGGCCUGGCGCUUUACGAUGAGCCCGCGGCCUAUCAGCUUGUUGGUAAGGUAACGGCUUACCAAGGCUAAGACGGGUAGCCGGUCUGAGAGGAUGGUCGGCCACACUGGAACUGAGACACGGUCCAGACACCUACGGGUGGCAGCAGUCGAGAAUCAUUCACAAUGGGGGAAACCCUGAUGGUGCGACGCCGCGUGGGGGAUGAAGGUCUUCGGAUUGUAAACCCCUGUCAUUUGUGAACAACCGUUUAAAUUUAAUAGAUUUAAACCUGAUAGUAGCAAAAGAGGAAGGGACGGCUAACUCAGUGCCAGCAGCCGCGGUAAUACUGAGGUCCCAAGCGUUGUUCGGAUUUACUGGGCGUAAAGGGUGCGUAGGUGGCCAGGAAAGUUUGAUGUGAAAGCCCCGAGCUCAACUCGGGAAUUGCAUUGGAUACUACUUGGCUUGAGGAUCGGAGGGGAGACUGGAAUUCUCGGUGUAGCAGUGAAAUGCGUAGAUAUCGAGAGGAACACCAGUGGCGAAGGCGAGUCUCUGGACGAUUCCUGACACUGAGGCACGAAAGCUAGGGGAGCAAACAGGAUUAGAUACCCUGGUAGUCCUAGCCGUAAACGGUGCACACUUGCUGUAGGCGGAUUCGACCCCGUCUGUGGCGGAGCAAACGCGUUAAGUGUGCCGCCUGGGGAGUACGGUCGCAAGAUUAAAACUCAAAGAAAUUGACGGGGGCCUGCACAAGCGGUGGAGUAUGUGGCUUAAUUCGAU